UACGUAGGUGGCAAGCGUUGUCCGGAAUCACUGGGCGUAAAGGGCGCGUAGGCGGCUCAUGAAGGCUGUGGUGAAAGUCCGGGGCUCAACCUCGGAUCGGCCGUGGCGACUCGUGGGCUGGAGCACUGUAGAGGCGGGUGGAAUUCCGGGUGUAGCGGUGGAAUGCGUAGAGAUCCGGAAGAACACCAGUGGCGAAGGCGGCCCGCUGGGCAGUGGCUGACGCUGAGGCGCGACAGCGUGGGGGAGCAAACAGG
rnacentral:rRNA from 1 species